rnacentral:ncRNA from 1 species
CAGAGUAGCCAUGUCGCGUUAAGUGCCAUACCAUGGGAAGUCGGGUAUGGACGAACACAUUCACUUGUGGCGGUGCCAUGGCGCGUCCGCUG